CGGCAACAGCUCAAAUUUGAAAUCUGGCCUCCUCGAGGCCCGAGUUGUAAUUUGUAGAGGAUGUUUUGGGUACCGCGCCGGUUUAAAUUUCUUGGAACAGAAUGUCAGAGAGGGUGAGAAUCCCG
rnacentral:rRNA from 1 species